AUUGAACGCUAGCGGGAUGCUUUACACAUGCAAGUCGAACGAGUGGCGGACGGGUGAGUAAUAUAUCGGAACGUGCCCAGUAGCGGGGGAUAACUACUCGAAAUAGUGGCUAAUACCGCACACUAUUGGAGCGGCCGAUACCGGAUUGGCUAGUUGGUGGGGUAAAGCAUCACCAAGGAAACGAUCCGUCGCUGGUGUGAGAUGACGACCAGCCACACUGGGACUGAGACACGGCCCAGACUCCUGCGGGAGGCAGCAGUGGGGAAUUUUGGACAAUGGGGGAAACCAUUAUCCAGCCAUCCCGCGUGUAUGAGAAGGCCUUCGGGUUGUAAAGUACUUUUGGCAGGGAAGCGGUAUCUGCAGAAUAAGCACCGGCUAACUACGUGCCAGCAGCCGCGGUAAUAG
rnacentral:rRNA from 1 species